rnacentral:rRNA from 1 species
GACGAACGCUGGCGGCGUGCCUAAUACAUGCAAGUAGGACGCAGUUGCGAACGGGUGAGUAACGCGUAGGUAACUACCUAUUAGAGGGGGAUAACUAUUGGAAACGAUAGCUAAUACCGCAUACUAGUAGAUGGACCUGCGUUGUAUUAGCUAGUAGGUAGGGUAAUGGCCUACCUAGGCAACGAUACAUAGCCGACCUGAGAGGGAGAUCGGCCAACAGGGGACUGGGGAACGGGCCAGACUCCUACGGGAGGCAGCAGGAGGGAAUCUUAGGCAAUGGGGCGAACACUGACCGAGCAACGCCGCGGGAGUGGAGAAGGGUUGCGGAUCGUAAAGCUCUGUUGAUAAGGAAGCGGUACUUAACCAGAAAGGGACGGCUAACUACGUGCCAGCAGCCGCGGUAAUAC